rnacentral:tRNA from 1 species
GCGGAAGUGCUGGAAUUGGCAGACAGGCUAGACUAAGGAUCUAGUGUUGGAAACGACGUGAGGGUUCAAGUCCCUUCUUCCGCAUCA